GCCAGUGCACCCAGAAAGGUGAGGUGGGAGAAGGCGGGGGCAGAAGAACAGCCAUAGGCCGCAAGGGGAUGAGAGGGCCGGGAAAGUCCAGAUGGUCCCUCUAAGCCAAGCGGAGGAGUUCGAGCUUGAUCCUGAGGGUGACAGAAGCCACACGAGUAUUUCUACCUGCAGAGCGAGGGAGAAGAAAAGAUAUGUUGCUUCCUUUGGAGACACCUGUGGUUCUGUGUUUCACAAUUCCCAUGGAGAGCCUUGGGGCCAGGAAGGGAUAGAAGGUCCUCUCCUGUGCCCACCCCUCCUGGGGAAGACAGUCUACUUGACAUUACUGCUUGGAUCAGCUAUCACUGGAUUUAAAGCUCCAGAACCUGCCUCCUCAAUUCUGGUGGACAGAUGGAAACAAACUCUCCACUGAGCCGGGAUGUAUUUGGCUGGCUCCAAACCCAAAGCCCUUCUAGUUUCCCUGUGAUCUUCAGGGGCCUUGAAUUGCCUCCCCUCUUUUCCAACCCAGACCUCUUCAUGAAUCCUACCCUACGUAUGGCCCCACAUUACCUGAGGAUAUAGAAUAAAUAAAUAAAAU
rnacentral:lncRNA from 1 species